GACGAACGCUGGCGGCGUGCCUAAUACAUGCAAGUCGAACGAAGCUGUUUUAACUGGUGCUUGCACCGACUUAAACAACUGAGUGGCGAACGGGUGAGUAACACGUGGGUAACCUGCCCCAAAGCGGGGGAUAACAUUUGGAAACAGAUGCUAAUACCGCAUAACCACAGAAACCACAUGGUUUCUGUGUCAAAGAUGGUUUCGGCUAUCACUUUGGGAUGGACCCGCGGCGUAUUAGCUAGUUGGUAAGGUAAUGGCUUACCAAGGCAAUGAUACGUAGACGAACUGAGAGGUUGAUCGGCCACAUUGGGACUGAGACACGGCCCAAACUCCUACGGGAGGCAGCAGUAGGGAAUCUUCCACAAUGGACGAAAGUCUGAUGGAGCAACGCCGCGUGAGUGAAGAAGGUUUUCGGAUCAUAAAACUCUGUUGUCAGAGAAGAACGUGUGCGAGAGUAACUGCUCGUGCAGUGACGGUAUCUGGCCAGAAAGCCACGGCUAACUACGUGCCAGCAGCCGCCGUAA
rnacentral:rRNA from 1 species